rnacentral:rRNA from 1 species
AUGCACGCUGGCGGCGUGCUUAACCCCUGCCAGUCGAACGAAGCACUUUAUUUGAUUUCCUUCGGGACUGAUUAUUUUGUGACUGAGUGGCGGACGGGUGAGUAACGCGUGGGUAACCUGCCUUGUACAGGGGGAUAACAGUUGGAAACGGCUGCUAAUACCGCAUAAGCGCACAGCAUCGCAUGAUGCAGUGUGAAAAACUCCGGUGGUAUAAGAUGGACCCGCGUUGGAUUAGCUAGUUGGUGAGGUAACGGCCCACCAAGGCGACGAUCCAUAGCCGACCUGAGAGGGUGACCGGCCACAUUGGGACUGAGACACGGCCCAAACUCCUACGGGAGGCAGCAGUGGGGAAUAUUGCACAAUGGGCGAAAGCCUGAUGCAGCGACGCCGCGUGAGCGAAGAAGUAUUUCGGUAUGUAAAGCUCUAUCAGCAGGGAAGAUAAUGACGGUACCUGACUAAGAAGCACCGGCUAAAUACGUG